CCUACGGGGGGCAGCAGUGAGGAAUAUUGGUCAAUGGCCGAGAGGCUGAACCAGCCAAGCCGCGUGAGGGAAGACGGCCCUACGGGUUGUAAACCUCUUUUGUCGGGGAGCAAAUCGAGUCACGUGUGACUCAUUGAGAGUACCCGAAGAAAAAGCAUCGGCUAAUUCCGUUCCAGCAGCCGCGGUAAUACGGGGGAUGCGAGCGUUAUCGGGAUUUAUUGGGUUUAAAGGAUGGGCGGGGGGAGGUGCACGUCAGCGCGAAAAUUGCGGGGCUAAACCCCGUACUGCCGUUGAAACUGCAUGCCUUGAGUGCGCGAGAGGUAGGCGGAAUGCGUGGUGUAGCGGUGAAAUGCAUAGAUAUGACGAGGAACUCCGAUGGCGAAGGCAGCAUACCGGCGCGCAACUGACGCUCAGGUACGAAAGCGUGGGGAUCGAACAGGAUUAGAUACCCUUGUAGUC
rnacentral:rRNA from 1 species